rnacentral:rRNA from 1 species
AUGGCCAAGUUUUGGUGGAGCAGCUCCAUUGAUAAACGGGCUCUGCACUGGAUAUCAUGGAAACAUCUCGCAACACCCAAGUGCAAAGGAGGAAUGGGUUUCCGGGACCUCCGUCUAUUCAACCUAGCAAUGCUUGGCAAACAAGGAUGGCGCCUCAUGACAAAUCCUAAUACCUUGUGUGGUCGAGUUCUGAAAGGGAAAUAUUUUCCCAACUCUGAAUUUAUGCAGGCUUCAGCACCGGGCUCCUCCUCGGCCACUUGGAGGGCGAUCAUCGCCGGA